UGGUGAUGAACUGAUGUUCUCGGAUUCACUCGAUCGUGAAGUACAAUUAAUUACUGCUACCUCCAGUAAUAGCCUGAUAGGGUAGGGGGAAUUGUUAAUCUCUAGUUACCGCUUCUCACCGUUGUUUGUUUAUGGAUCGUGUUAACCUCUGUGGCUGUGGCCAUGACUCCGUUGUGUGUCUAGGUUCAGAAAUGAAACUCUGCAAUUUCUCUUGCUUUGUGUAAACAUGUUUGUGCGUGCAUGGGAAGCUCAAGGAAGAUUUUAGUACUGUGCUAAAGUUUCAGAAUUCAGAUUUAGC
rnacentral:lncRNA from 1 species